GAGGCUGCAGCUCAGUGGUAGAGCAUCUGCUUUGCAUGCAUAAGGUCUCAAGUUCAAUCUCUAGUAGCAUCU